UCAGAGGCAAGAGAUUCAAAGAAGAGAUUGAUAAGUAAAUCUUAUCAUUCGUCGUCGAAGAAAUCUAGAGACUAUUUUAACUGAUGGACAGCUUGAGUAGGAUAUCAGAAUAGAGAUCGCGAAAAGUAAUACACCAACCCUAAAACUCAAGCCACAUUGGUAUCGAGUGUUGGUAACGUAAAAGAUGUUAAACCCGAAUGUCAAUAAUGUGGAAGACAGCAUGUGGGAGAUUGUUG
rnacentral:lncRNA from 1 species